rnacentral:rRNA from 1 species
UUAGUUCGGAUUGUAGGCUGCAACUCGCCUACAUGAAGUCGGAAUUGCUAGUAAUCGCGGAUCAGCAUGCCGCGGUGAAUACGUUCCCGGGCCUUGUACACGCCGCCCGUCACACCAUGGGAGUCGGUAACACCCGAAGCCUGUAGUCUAACCGCAAGGGGGACGCAGUCGAAGGUGGGAUUGAUGACUGGGGUGAAGUCGUAACAAGGUACC